rnacentral:rRNA from 1 species
UACGUAGGGGGCAAGCGUUGUCCGGAAUCAUUGGGCGUAAAGAGCGUGUAGGCGGCUCGGUAAGUCCGCUGUGAAAGUCCAGGGCUCAACCCUGGAAUGCCGGUGGAAACUGUCGGGCUAGAGUCCGGAAGAGGCGAGUGGAAUUCCUGGUGUAGCGGUGAAAUGCGCAGAUAUCAGGAGGAACACCAAUAGCGAAGGCAGCUCGCUGGGACGGUACUGACGCUAAGGCGCGAAAGCGUGGGGAGCGAACAGG